GACGAACGCUGGCGGCGUGCUUAACACAUGCAAGUCGAGCGGUAAGGCCCUUUCGGGGGUACGACGAGCGGCGAACGGGUGAGUAACACGUGGGUGACCUGCCCUCAGCUCUGGGAUAAGCCCGGGAAACUGGGUCUAAUACUGGAUAUUACUCUGCGGUGCAUGCCGUGGGGUGGAAAGCCUUGUGCGGCUGGGGAUGGGCCCGCGGCCUAUCAGCUUGUUGGUGGGGUGAUGGCCACCAAGGCGACGACGGGUAGCCGGCCUGAGAGGGCGACCGGCCACACUGGGACUGAGACACGGCCCAGACUCCUACGGGAGGGCAGCAGUGGGGAAUCUUGCGCAAUGGGCGAAAGCCUGACGCAGCGACGCCGCGUGAGGGAUGAC
rnacentral:rRNA from 1 species